ACCGCUCGCCCUCGCGCUGCUGCCGCCUCCGCUUGCCCUCGCGCCGCCUCUUUGCUCCCGACUUCCCUAACCCUAGCCCCUUUCUACGCCACCGCCGCCUCCCGUUCCCUCUCCCUCCCCUGCCGUCGCGUCGCCGCCUUCGCCGACUCGCCCUCCCCUCCUUCUCCCCCUGCAUAGCGGCAGGUCGAGGUGGUCGUGGCCGACCGCGCACUCGCCGGCGCUGCCCCGUGAGUGCUCCAUCGGUGACUUCCACCUUCUCCCUCUCCCUCUCCCUACCGUCGGCCUCUCCCUUGGUGGCGGCCAGAUCUACCAUGGCUACGGCCACGGACACGGACGGGGCUUCUGGAUCCGCGCCGCCGCCGAGCUGGGUCCCGACGGUCGCCUCCUUCUCCACAACCGGCGCCACACCCUUUGGUGGAUCAAUCCGGCACCAGGAACCGUGAACACUAGGCCCUUCUACCCCGCCGUCGGCUUCGCCUCCUCGUGAGAUCUCGACCAUGGUCCGUUGUGGAUGUUGUUUGUUCUGUUUGUCGAGGCUUCGGUCGGCCUGCUGUCUGCUGCCGUGUCGAGAGGUUGCAAGGUUCCUGGUUGCGCGGAAAUGAUCCAUGAUCUGGUGGCGGGAAGCGGCUCCAUAUUGGUGAUUGGACCUCCUGGUGUAGGCAAGACUACUCUGAUCAGGUACACAUCACCUACACCCCAGUUCUUUGCUCAGUAGUGUUAGUCAUUAUGUAAGGCGAGUGCAUGUUACUUGUAUAUAAUUCAUCAACAUGGCUGAGAAUACCAAAGAUAAAUCGUCGGGUUUCUGUGAGCACUUUGUAAAGCAUCUUGGAUUCUGCCACCGCCAUGGUCUUGGAUUUGGAGCUAGAUUAGUGAUGCCUCACCAAUCUGGAUGCUACCGCCGAGCCUUGGCAUUUGCUGCCGAUGAAGUUAUUGAACUGGUGGUUGCUACGUUUGUUGUGACCCUGUUCAAGAAAUAUGAAGGUGAGCCCGGUGCGGCUCUUCUGUGGUAGAAAAAUCUUGCCUGUUGAAGUAGAUGUUAUGGAUCAAUAAUGGUGCAUUCUUGGAUAACACACUGUUUGUUGAUUAUUGAAAUAGUCGUGUGUCAUAAUAAAGUUUUUUUCCUGUUUGGUUGCAUGUAUGUGCAUGGAUGCUUCCUUUGGACUUCAUGCAAGUGUUUUGCCCCUCAUCAUGAUUGGCUGAUGAGGAGAGCACUUCUGCUCGGAAGGUUGAGUUUCUCUUGAAGUCAAAACCGCCAAGUAAUAUAAUGGAAGGCCACGAUAUCAGACAGUUCUAAGUCAUGGAUUAAUGCAAUGGGUGAGCAGGAAAAGUUAUUCUCUUCUUUGUUGGAACAUUUCCUAAGAUGGUCUAAGUGGGAAUGCAUAUGCUAAACCUGGCGUUUGGACCGGCACCCUCGCGCAUGGCGCGAUCCCGAUCUGCACCCACUGCUACGUGUAUCUUAUUUGGUUUGAAAUUUUUGGGGAUUGGCCUUGAUAGCUGGUUAUCAUUGUACAAGACAUCUUAGCAUUAUGGCAGAACAAUUAUUAUGUGUCUAUCAAUGAUAACAAUGGUACCUGAUUGAAGAUUAGGUGGUCUACAAUCCUCAGGUUCUCCAAAACUAUAUCUCAAGCCUAUCAACUCUGAAAAUUAAAGGUCGCCACCAUGCUGUCUCUCUCUGGCCGCCCCUCACAUCGUCUUGGUUUGUUGGUUGCCGCUAUGUCUCCUGCCGGUUCGCCCGCCGCUAUCGCUGGAAGGGUUGUAUAGGCCGUUGCUUAUGCCACUACUCUGCAGUGACCAGUGAGGACCAUGGCAUCGAGGCAGGUCAAAAGGGAAACACCGCCGGCCACAACGCUGGUAGAGGCCUCCCUGUCUGCGCCGGUGACUGCUUAAAAUCGCCGCCGCCACUACCGUUGUCUUUGUUGCUUCUUUGUCUUUGUUGCUUCUUUGCAGGCAUUUGAUUAAGUCAAAGGCAACAUGAAGGCACGACGACGAUCAAGGUCUUUAUGUACGCCGAGUAGUAUCUUUUGCCUACCAUACCGUAUGAAAAUAGAUCAGGAUGAGACAAUUAAGUCACGUACUAUGUAUUUACUGUGGUCUCUAUAAGGAGAACAUAUCUGGUCUAUAUCUGAAUCUAUGAACUAUUAUAUCGAUGAUGUCGAUUAUGUCUACAUAGCCUGCCUUUGUAUGCUUGUAUAAGCUCAAUUUAUCCUUUGUACUGCUCU